GCGGUAAAACCAACCCCCUCUCUCUCCGAGAGAAAAAUAGAGAAGGGCAAAAGAGCAGCGGUGUGUGGUUACCGCUGUCCUGUUGAGGUAACUUUGCCAGAAAGGCCAUUCAAGUUAACUGGCAGCUUUUGAAAUCAGGAAGGCUAAGCAAUAAGUUUCAACAGGCAGAAGAAAAACAGGUUGUGAAAAAGGAAAAAGUUAAUGAGUCGUCGUGCACGAAACCAAGUGAGAAUAACACCAGAAGGUACAAUGGUGAACUUGACAGUACAGAAAUGAAUGAGAGCUCUUGCAUAAUCUUGGAGGUAUUGGAUAUUACAUAUUCCAUAGUGCAAAUUCUCAGAAAAAUCAUUUCCGAAGGAAUCCAGCAGAUCCCAAAUUGGCACAUCUGAAAUUUCUA